UACGAGGGGGGCUAGCGUUGUUCGGAAUCACUGGGCGUAAAGCGCGCGUAGGCGGCCAUACAAGUCAGAGGUGAAAUCCCAGGGCUCAACCCUGGAAUUGCCUUUGAAACUGCAUGGCUAGAGUUCGGUAGAGGGUGGUGGAAUUCCUAGUGUAGAGGUGAAAUUCGUAGAUAUUAGGAGGAACACCAGUGGCGAAGGCGGCCACCUGGGCCGAUACUGACGCUGAAGUGCGAAAGCGUGGGGAGCAAAC
rnacentral:rRNA from 1 species